UCUUUCAUAACAUGUUUUUUCUCUCAAAUUCAGUGUUUUAGCACGCACGCUGACUUAAUUCCUCCAGUAAUUAUUUACAUAGAUUUGUUGGUUUGUAGGGGGAAAGAGUGGGUGGAUAAGAUUAUCUUGGGCUAACCGAUAUACUGGUUAUUAUAGCGCUACUUCCAGAACGUCUUUCUCCGAUCGACGGCAACACUGCCGUCAUUCAAAUAUCAACACUCCGGCCCCUCGCGUAACUGCCCGCCAUGGCUCCAAAUCUCUAAUGUGCGGCCUGCUGUGUUUGUGGGAAAAAACGAAGAACACACACUGGUGGGAAGCUCCAUUUAUUCCCAAAGGAUGUCAGAAGGUGCCUCCAGUGGGUGAAAGCCUUGAAAAUUGGCUUUCAAAAGCAUACUCAAGCCAUCUGUAGUGACCACUUUGAUGGGGUUCAUUUUGGCAGCAAAGGCCAGCUGCUGCCGACUGCAACCCCACGUCACACAGAUGGCCAUGAGGAGCAACCACCCACUGGGUUCCUGGCAUCAUCCCACAAUGCAGCUGCCAUUGACUUGGAGCCAAUGGAGUUGGAACUCUCCUCUACACAGAUUGUGCUGCCACAUUAUGAUCCGAACACAGCUUUCGGUAACACCCAAGAGAAUGUGGCAGCCCAAGAGGAGAGUCCAAGAAAGAGGCCAUGGGUGGAGUUAAAUAGAACUCAGCCACCCCCUGAGGAAUGUGGCAGUAUCCAACCCCACCUGCUCAGUGUCCCCCAAGCCACACAUGAAAAUGAACUGCAGCCUGACCCUGAUGAGUGUGCUCCCCAUUGCACUGCACCAGCUCCAUGUGCUGAUUUUGGGUGUGAAACUGAAGGGGUUGGAGGAAACCCGACUCGGCCAUCAAGCUCACCAAAAUACAGUAAGCAACCUCUUGUGCUCAGUGAUAAUUUAUCCUCUAGUUACUGUUCAGUGUUGUUAUGACCACAUUUAAUGUGUUGGAAACAUUACAGCUUAAUAAUAUACCUCACAUCCCUGCAUACAAAUUGAAUUCAAUAUUUAACUGUUACACCAGUACAUAUCUUAAGAAAAUAUAUGUAAAAAGGUUGAUAUUUUGAAUGAUAUUUAAACUGUUUAUUAUAUUCUUAUGGCAGUAAUGAGUCAUCAGAACAUAGGUCUUAUGUUCUUGAUAGCAUAGGUCCAAAUUUUGCCAUAGGCUGGCAAUUGAUAGUAACAGUAGUGUCCACAAAUACCUGCCUGUCUCUUGUUUAUCCUGUUCCACUUUAAACCAUGACUGGUCAAGCUUUGAAGGGGUAGCAUAACCCUGAAGUGCCACUAACAAACAUUUGUCCAUGCUACUGAUGUGAUCAUGUUUACCAUUCACUCCCAAACAUGGCAGCACCCUAGAAAUGAGGUCAAUAUCCCUGCUAUUUAAUAUCCCAUCUUUAAUCACAUACUCAGGCUUUUCCUUGUAUUAUGAAACCAAAAAAUGUGAUUCUUCAUACGUUAUUCUUAAAGGAUAGUCGUGAGUAUCAGGGAAAUGGGAGCUACAAGGAACAGUAUUAUUCUCUAAACUUAAUGUAUGCAUGGGAGACAUGAGGCUGAACCAUUCCACAUCACCCACAUUACACUGGAUGGACAUGUGGAAGAGCUGGGAUAAUAAUUGAAUUAUGAUCUAUGCAAAUGUUCAAAUGGUUUUAAUAAGUAAUAAGGAUUAGUUUGUUGGGUAAAGUGGCACAUCCCGGAGACCACCAGUUUAAUGGAUUAUAAUUGUGAAAAGGAAAGUUAGAUAGCAGGCAGGAUUUGGGUAUGACUAACAUUGCAGAAACAGAUCUGACUGGGGAUGUGUUACGAGUGGGGUCCCACAAGGUUCGGUAUUAGGUCCACUUUUGUUUAUUAUUUAUAUCAAUGACUUAGACACAGGAAUUAGUAGUGAUGUUAGUAAAUUUGCAGAUGAUACCAAGAUCGGUAGAGUAAUUGAGUCGGAUCAGGACGCUAGUAUUCUCCAAGGUGAACUCAACAGAUUAUAUGACUGGGCGGAUAAAUGGCAGAUGGAGUUCAAUGUAGGGAAGUGCAGUAUUCUGAGUGUAGGUAGGAACAACCCCUCACAUAACUAUUGCUUAAAUGACACUCAUAAGUAGGUCUGGGUGCGAGAGGGAUUUAGGGGUCUUAGUGAGCUCUGAUCUCCGUCCAAGGGCACAAUGCAUUCAAGCUAGAAAUCGAGCUAAUAGGGUACUGGGAUUUAUUUCAAGGAGCGUAAGCAACAGAAGCCCCGAAGUCUUCCUCAAACUAUAUUUAGCAUUAGUUAGACCUCAUCUUGACUAUGCGGUUCAGUUCUGGUCACCUUACUAUAGAAUGGAUAUCAAAAUGUUAGAAUCAGUGCAGAGGAGGAUGACUAAGAUGAUUCAGGGGUUGAGAAACUUGCCAUACGAGGAAAGACUCAAACAGUUAAACUUGCAUUCUCUAGAAAGGCGAAGGGUGCGUGGAGACAUGAUCGAGGUUUAUAAAUGGAUGAAGGGCUUUAAUAAGGGAGACAUUCAUAAGGUUUUGUUGGUAAGAGAACCGGGUAGGACACGAAGUAACGGGUUUAAACUGGAUAAAUUCAGAUUCAACAGGGACAUAGGCAAAAAUUGGUUUACUAACAGGGUGGUGGAUGAGUGGAAUAGGCUUAGCAGUCAUGUGGUGAGUGCCAAUACAAUUGUCACAUUCAAAAAUAGACUAGAUAAAUUCAUGGACAGCGAUAUUAGGUGGGGUUAGAUACACGGGAGCUUAGGGUCAAAGGAGCUGCCUCGUACAGGCCUACCGGCCUCUUGCAGACUCCUGCGUUCUUAUGUUCUUAUGUUCUUAGAGAAUUUUUUGAUUUUUAGUGUGGCACCAUUUUGACGUAUGUUUCAGUAGAGAUUGAACACCAGAGAUGUAUAUGGAUAAUCAGUGCUUGUAGAUCUUGAUAUUAUUUCUGUCAAGUCUCCAGUUGUACCCUCUCCCCCAUCUGGAAAUACUACUCUUGUCAGGUAAUCUAACUAAAGCCUUUCCAGUCUAAGCUGGUGUGCAGAUAAAAUGUCAUUGCUUGGAUUCACUGUCCUAAUAGCAAUAAUAAUGCAUUAACAUGCACAUAUUUUAUUAUUUAGAAUCAUGAGAAGAGUGCUGUGAAAUUUAACUUUUAAUAUUGGUGUAUGCAUCUUCAGAGACAUCAAAACUGCAAUUGAUAAAGAAGACGGUCUGCCGUCUGCGCCGGCAGGUGAGGUAGCUCAAAGCUCAGGCCAUUACCACUCCUGGGCAGUUUUUGGCCAAAGCCAGCAAUUUCCUAGAUCCAAAAGUGGUGGAUUUUUUCAAAGGACAGGUUCAACAUGCUGCAAGAUCUAAGCCUGGUAGGAGAUAUGGGGUACAAGAGAGGAGGUUUGCUCUGGCCUUGCACUAUCAAAGUCCAAAGGCUUAUCGAAUUCUCAGCACAGUAUUUCAUUUGCCUUCAGUUUCAACACUUCACUCAUGGCUCAGGGGUAUUUCACUAAAUGUUGGCUGGAGCAAACAGACUCUGACAGCCCUGAAGAAAAGAGCACAGGCUUUGUCAAAAGAAGAGACACUUUGUGGGAUUGCAUUUGAUGCCAUGAGUAUUAAAGAAUCAUUGCAUUUUGACAAAGCCUCUGAUUUUACUUCAUCAAAUCGCCGUUCGGCUGGAGGAAUCCUCCACAUGAGAAAGCUUCACGCGCCGCCGCCAGAUCAGUUGCUUCACAGUUGCCACGCCGGAAGGACGUCAGCAGGGCUCCGUCCUGGUUUUCAACUCAACCAAUAGGCCACGUGCUUGUUACGCAGGUACAGAGCCUCCUGCCCGUCAUCCUAUGUUAGGAGCGGGCAGGGCCUUGCAAGUGGCUGUUUCUACAAUAUUGUGUGGGCUGCAAGGCGACUUAUUUGUGUUGUGUUGUCUCGGCAGGCUGCGCCGGCCGCCGGCCAUGUCUGAUCAGUCCCGGGUAGCUGGGGGCCCUCAACAGGUGUCCCCACGGCCACGUUCGGAGUCGAGGCGAGGUGAACCAUACCUUGCCUCAGGGGGCUCGGGAUCGUCGCUGGACGAGAUGAGGCCACAUGCUCCUGGUAACAGUCAUGGUGGUAGCGGGCGCUCGUAUCAGCUGAUAGGUGCCCAUAAACCACUUCGGCCCCACAGGCGUGCUCGGCCAGCUGCGCCCCCGUCCCCACCUGCCCCCUGGAACAUGGUUUUGGAGGCCAUUUCGGAGCUACGAGGUGAGGUGAACAAGCUAAAGGAGGACAGGCAGCCUGCCCCUCGUGUGGCUCCUGUGGUGAACGAGGGUGCGGGUACAUCACGUGAUGCGUGCCGUCCUCUGUCUCCUCGUCCUGGCUCUUUCUCAGGGUUUAUGGAUUCAGGCAGUGAGGAUGGUGAGAUUAGAGUGUUUGCCCCAGGCAGUAGUGCUCUCAUGCUCAUUGCUGGGGGCCAAAUCUUUUGGUCCACAGGAGUUGGUAUCAGAGGAUAUUGACACACAAGUUGCGGACAUGGUGAAUUACGUGUUCGACAGCGGCAUGAGGGAGGAGGACUACAAGGACAUCUGUGAGGACGACAUUGUGAAGAGGCCGGCCAACUGUCACGCACUCGCACCUGUGGAAUGUAACACGCAGGUGUUUGAAGCCCUCAGAGUAGAUGCUAGGAAGGCAGACUGUCGCCUAAAAGAAGUCAACAAGGACAUCCUGAGAGCGGCGACCAUUAUUACAAAAUCCCUCUUGGUACUUGACAAGGUAGCUACUGAUGAGGGGAACGCUGUGGUGGCUCGCGAGGUCGGAAUGAUUAAUGGCGCACUGGCUUUGUUGGGUCAUGCAAACCACAGGAACAACCUAGCAAGGCGGCUGGUCAUGAAACGGGAGAUAAACCGUAAGUACUCGCACCUUUGCUCAGACAGGGUGCCUAUGACCCGCUUCCUCUUUGGAGAUGACGUGUCACAGUCGGCCAAGAAUAAUGAAGACGCGGAGAAGCUUAAGCACAAGAUUACCACCAAGAAGUCUUCUUUGGCCUGGCGAUUCCCUGGGGGGAGGACGAGGAGUUCUUGGAGUAAAGCACCAAACAGGAGCUUCUCAUCCAGGUUCCAGCCUUAUGGUUUGCCGAGGACAGGCUACAGGGGCAAUCAACGACCUGCACAGGCGAGGCAGGACACGGAUCCAAAAAACGCGAAAGGCCGGGGGCACAAGGCUCGUCAGUAAUUGAGGCAAGUAAGGACUUUGAAGCAGGUAGACUGCACUAUUUUGUUUCUGAGUGGCAGAAAUUUACACAAGACCCAUUUGUUUUGGACAUUGUUCAGCAUUGCCACCUUAAUAUCAGUGUAGAGGACAUAGAACAUCUUUACUUUAAAGAGGUUGAAUACCCAUUUAAUAAGGAACAGCAACAAUGCAUUUCUAAGGAAAUUAGCAAGCUCUUGCAACUCAAGGUCAUUCAGGUUACUCAAAGGACUGACGAUCAAAUUAUUUCCCCCAUAUUCUUAAGGAAGAAGCCAAAUGGUGAAUACAGACUUGUGCUUAAUUUGAAAGAGUUAAACUUACACAUCCCAUACAAACAUUUCAAAAUGGAGAAUUUUGAGCAGGCAAUCAAACUUAUUCAUGCGGGUGACUAUUUGGCUUCAGUGGACCUUAGGCAUGCUUAUUACUCAGUGAAGGUUGCAGAGGAACAACAAAAAUUUCUUUGUUUCACCUGGCACGGUACUGUUUACAAAUUUACAUGUUUGCCAAAUGGA